rnacentral:sRNA from 1 species
AUCCGACUAACAAACAACUGCAGACGGGAGUUAGAGAGAAAAAGCAGAAAGAGACCUAAGGGUGAAAGCGUAUCUAAGAGUCGACGAUAAAAAAGAGCUUAGAAACCCACCAAGGAUUCAAGAGAAAGAAUCCGAGGAGCUGAAGAGAAUCUCACUUCGGACCCCUAAGGAACUCGAACUGAAGAA